rnacentral:rRNA from 1 species
AUAUCAAUAAGCGGAGGAAAAGAAACUAACAAGGAUUCCCCUAGUAACUGCGAGUGAAGCGGGAAAAGCUCAAAUUUAAAAUCUGGCGGUCUUUGGCCGUCCGAGUUGUAGUCUGGAGAAGUGCUUUCCGCGCUGGACCGUGUAUAAGUCUCUUGGAACAGAGCGUCAUAGAGGGUGAGAAUCCCGUCUUUGACACGGACUACCAGUGCUUUGUGAUGCGCUCUCAAAGAGUCGAGUUGUUUGGGAAUGCAGCUCAAAAUGGGUGGUGAAUUCCAUCUAAAGCUAAAUAUUGGCGAGAGACCGAUAGCGAACAAGUACCGUGAGGGAAAGAUGAAAAGCACUUUGGAAAGAGAGUUAAACAGUACGUGAAAUUGCUGAAAGGGAAACGCUUGAAGUCAGUCGCGUCGUCCGGAACUCAGCCUUGCCUUUCGCUUGGUGCACUUUCCGGAUUGACGGGUCAGCAUCGAUUUUGACCGUCGGAAAAGGGCUGGAGUAAUGUGGCACCUCCGGGUGUGUUAUAGACUCUGGUCGCAUACGGCGGUCGGGAUCGAGGAACGCAGCGCGCCGUAAGGCAGGGGUUAAUCCCACUUUCGCGCUUAGGAUGCUGGCAUAAUGGCUUUAAACGACCCGUCUUGAAACACGGACCAAGGAGUCUAACAUACCUGCAAGUGUUUGGGUGGAAAACCCGAGCGCGUAAUGAAAGUGAAAGUUGAGAUCCCUGUCGUGGGGAGCAUCGACGCCCGGACCAGACGUUCUCUGACGGAUCCGCGGUAGAGCAUGUAUGUUGGGACCCGAAAGAUGGUGAACUAUGCCUGAAUAGGGUGAAGCCAGAGGAAACUCUGGUGGAGGCUCGUAGCGAUUCUGACGUGCAAAUCGAUCGUCAAAUUUGGGUAUAGGGGCGAAAGACUAAUCGAACCAUC